GAUUUCUGGCGAACCGAUGCGACCUGUGCUCGUAUCGGGCGUGUGUGCCGCGUCGAGUUUGUCAUCCUUCCAGAAAGCUGCGUCUACCAUUCACUUGGCCGUGAUCUGGAUCGAUUACUUUGAAAAAUUAGAGUGUUUAAAGGGCUUACGCUGUGAAUACAUUAGCAUGGAAUAAUAAUAUAGACUUUAGUUCUUUCUAGUACUGAAGUAAUGAUUGAUAGUGAUAGUUGGGGGUGCUAGUAUUCCGUGCCAGAGUGGUGAAAUUCUUGGAUUCGCGGAAGACUAACUACUAAAGCAUU
rnacentral:rRNA from 1 species